CUCAUCUGGCCAACCAUCUUCAGCUGCCAGUGGGCAAGUGUCUUCCUGGUACUACACAUGAAGAUGUCCCACUCUCCACUGCUCAAGGAGAGAGUGCCUGACCUGAGCUGGGCCCAUCAGAUCCAGUACUUACCUGGAAUAGGAAAAAGAUGGGGAGGGUGACCAAAGAUUACAAAAAUCUCUGAAGCUUAUCUACUUGAGAGAGAGUCCCUGAAGAUACUGGCCUCUCAUUCCUGCUAUGUAUAUCCAAUGUGACUGAACUCUGAAUAAAAUAUAUAAGUUAUAACAAUGUAGCAAUUGACCCAGCAAACGAGGACACAAACGUGUUGGAGGGUGUCUACGGAGAAAUAGACAAGCGAUGCACGACAGAUACAUGUGUCAGUCUGGUCCCUGCAGUUGUAUUUGUAAUAAUACACAUUGGAGCAAUUUCAUGGCCAUCGGUUAGAGAAUGUUUGAGGAAUGAUCCAUUCAUAUCAAGAAGGACAUUUCAAAGAUCAAAACCUGAUGGAAAUGCUGGAGACCAUGGCGCUGAUAGGAGCUCAUGCGUGUUGACCAAUUACUACAUGACAGGCAUUGUCUCCACGCUUUUCCUGCACUGCUCAUUUAAACACUGGACAACCUAAGUGUUCUGAUUUAGCCCAUUGGACAGAUAGAAAUGGAGGCACAGAAGAUUAAUGUGUUUAACUUCAAACCCUGGCAGAUUAGGUUUUUCAUCCAGAGCCUGUGGCUUCACCA
rnacentral:lncRNA from 1 species